GAAAUGCGAUAAGUAGUGUGAAUUGCAGAAUUCAGUGAAUCAUCGAAUCUUUGAACGCACAUUGCGCCUUCCGGUAUUCCGGGAGGCAUGCCUGUCCGAGCGUCAUCAAAAUCCACUCAAGUAGUUUUGCUUGGUCAUGAAAGAAGAGUUUGCUUUGCGGAUUCCCUUUCGAAAUUCAAUGGCAGAGAGUCUCAUGAUUCCGGCGUAGUAAUAACUUAUUCGCUUGGUCGUUGUAACAAUCUUGCCCCAAAUCCCCAAUUCUAGUGUUUGACCUCGGAUCAGGUAGGGAUACCCGCUGAACUUAA
rnacentral:misc_RNA from 1 species